UACGGGGGGAGCAAGCGUUGUUCGGAUUUACUGGGCGUAAAGGGCGCGUAGGCGGCGCAACAAGUCACUUGUGAAAUCUCCGGGCUUAACCCGGAGCGGCCAAGUGAUACUGUCGUGCUAGAGUGCGGAAGGGGCUACUUGAAUUCUCGGUGUAGCGGUGAAAUGCGUAGAUAUCGAGAGGAACACCUGCGGCGAAGGCGGGUAGCUGGGCCGACACUGACGCUGAGGCGCGAAAGCCAGGGGAGCGAACGGG
rnacentral:rRNA from 1 species